GUAAUAAAAACUUCUGAGAGAUGUUGUUCUAAUGGGAAAGCAAGCAAGUUGCCAGUCACAGAUGGAGUACAGGAGAUCAUUGCAAUACUGCUGGACAUGAAGUUGUAAGUACCUGAAGUGGAACAGCUUGAGAGAAACUUCCUCAUCUUGACUAAAUGAGAGUAGAGGAGAAUCAGUGAAGAGCUGAGGCCAAGAUGAAAGAAAGGAUAGGAAGACCAAUACCCCAUUUAGGCUGAAGUCCAAUCAGGAUAAGUCUUCAGAUAUCAACACUGGAUUUAAGGAACAAAAAAAAAGCAUUCAUUCAACACUUACAAUAUACCAGCACAGUGGUAAGUGCCAGGGAUACAAAUGCGAGUAAGCAAGACAGUUCCUACCCUCAAGGAGCUUACAUUCUAAAUGAGAAAACAACACAUAUAGUUACAGUUGGAAAUGAAGGGGCAGUACAUGUGCAAUGGAAUGACAUUGAAAUGACCAGAAAGAGGAAGGGCAUGGUGGCCCUCAGAUCUGGAUUAGACAAGGAGAAAGCUCACCAAUCAGACAGAACUCAUGCUCACCAGGGUGGGAGGCAAGGAUUCAGGUGGGGGAUGCUGGUGCCAUGGUACAGAGACACAUCUUGUUGGGCCUAACACCAGGGCUAGAUGAGGAGAAAGUUCACCAGAGUCCAGAGUUUAGGGGCCUAGGAAAAAAGGUAAAUGGAAGUAAGUGGGCCACGUGGC
rnacentral:lncRNA from 1 species